CAGCGGGUGAGAGUCCCGCCCGGGUAGGCGCCGGAGCGCCCGGUAGCAGGCCCCAGGUGCGAGGAGAGAUCCUCGCGGCCCGAGCGGGGCGUCAAGAGCCUCUACGGAGGGAGCAAGAACGCGGGCCGCAACAUCA
rnacentral:ncRNA from 1 species